rnacentral:rRNA from 1 species
CGGAGCUUGCUCUGUGGGAUCAGUGGCGAACGGGUGAGUAACACGUGAGCAACCUGCCCCUGACUCUGGGAUAAGCGCUGGAAACGGCGUCUAAUACUGGAUACGAGUAGCGACCGCAUGGUCAGUUACUGGAAAGAUUUAUUGGUUGGGGAUGGGCUCGCGGCCUAUCAGCUUGUUGGUGAGGUAAUGGCUCACCAAGGCGUCGACGGGUAGCCGGCCUGAGAGGGUGACCGGCCACACUGGGACUGAGACACGGCCCAGACUCCUACGGGAGGCAGCAGUGGGGAAUAUUGCACAAUGGGCGCAAGCCUGAUGCAGCAACGCCGCGUGAGGGAUGACGGCCUUCGGGUUGUAAACCUCUUUUAGCAGGGAAGAAGCGAAAGUGACGGUACCUGCAGAAAAAGCGCCGGCUAACUACGUGCCAGCAGCCGCGGUAAUACGUAGGGCGCAAGCGUUAUCCGGAAUUAUUGGGCGUAAAGAGCUCGUAGGCGGUUUGUCGCGUCUGCUGUGAAAUCCGGAGGCUCAACCUCCGGCCUGCAGUGGGUACGGGCAGACUAGAGUGCGGUAGGGGAGAUUGGAAUUCCUGGUGUAGCGGUGGAAUGCGCAGAUAUCAGGAGGAACACCGAUGGCGAAGGCAGAUCUCUGGGCCGUAACUGACGCUGAGGAGCGAAAGGGUGGGGAGCAAACA